GCGUNCUCGACANNUAUUUUCUGCUCAGUGAUUUUAAACAGGCGCGGUAAUUUGACCGUGCAAAGGUAGCAUAAUCAUUUGCCCUAUAAUUGAGGGCUGGUAUGAAUGGAGUUUCAAGAUGUUUACUUUAUUUUAAGAAGUUUUAUAAUUUUCUUUUUUAGUUAAGAAGCUAAAAUUUUUUUGGGGGACAAGAAGACCCUUUUGAGCUUUAUUUUUGAACUAAUAUUUUUAUUUCUUUAAUUUGGUUGGGGCGACCAAGGAAGAUAAAGAUCUUCCUUUAUUAAUUUUGAUCCGUGGUUUUCGAUUAAGAGAAUGAGUUACCAAAGGGAUAACAGUGUAAUUUCUUUUGUGAGUUCUUAUUAAAAAAGAAGAUUGCUACCUCGAUGUUGACUUAUGGGAACCUAAUGGUGUAGUAGUUAUUUAGGUUGGUCUGUUCGACCUUUAAUUCCUUACGUGAUCUGGUUCAAGAACCCGGAA
rnacentral:rRNA from 1 species